GGCCCGUUCGUCUAGGGGUUAGGACGCCACUCUUUCAAGGUGGAGACACGGGUUCGAUUCCCGUACCGGCUACGA
rnacentral:tRNA from 1 species